ACCAGCUCUACUGCGUUGCCCAGGAAAGGUGCAGGGGCCACUCUCCCAAGAGCUGCAGCAGGGCCAGCUCACGCAAGCCUCCACCAACAGGAUCAGCUCUGCUGUGCUGCCCACGUGAGGAGCAGGGCCCGCUUCCGGAGUGCUGCAGCUGGUGUGUCUGUGGUCCUAACCUCGGGGCUGAGCUCAUCAAACCUCGUGGAUGAUGCAAAGUAAACCAAGCAAGUCUUCUGUGUUCAUUGCUUUCAUGUUGCUGGAACUACGAUGCCUGACAGAAACGACUUCAGGUUCACAGUUUCAAAGGAGCCCGAGUUCAUCCUCGUGAGGAAAGCACAGUGAAAUGAGCGGCAGUGGGAGUGUAGGACUACCCGGGCUGGUUCUGUGUCAGCUUGACGCAAGUUAGAGACACCUGUGAAGAAGGAACUCCACUUGAGAAAACACCCCCACUAAGUUGGCCUGUGGACAAGCCCAUGAGUAGACAUCCUAACUAAGCUGGAGACAGAGACUCUUCACAUCGUACAAACCAGGAAGCAGAGAAUGCAGAGGUGUACCAGAGGUGAAUGUAAUCUCCAAAGACCCACUCCUAGAGGUCUACUUCCACUAAGUAGUACCCACAUCCCAAAGAUUCCACAACCUCCUGCAACAGUGCCACCAUCAGGGGAAUUAGUGCCCACACACAUGAGCCUGUGAGGACCCUUCACAUUCAAACCAAGGCACCCACUCUCUUCCUAUUACAGAACAAGACUGAAGGCCUGAGAAAUGAAGUGACCCCUCAAGAUCACACAACUAGAAGCUGCUGAAACCAGACCUAGAGAUCAGAGCUAAUUUAGAAACCAACAAGAGUUCAACUUUCUCCCAGCCUGUGGUUCUUAACUUAAGAACAUUGCAGCCAUUCAGUAUGCUUUUCUAGAAUUUAAUGCACAUUGGACCGGCUUGUACCUUCUCUAAAGAAACAUGAUAUGAGCCGCUGUGUAUGUAUUUCAAAUAAAAAGUAGCUUCAAUUUUUCAAGGUUUAUGAAAUGAAGCAGC